CUUUUACAAUGAAGAGUUUGAUCCUGGCUCAGGAUGAACGCUAGCUACAGGCUUAACACAUGCAAGUCGAGGGGCAGCAUGACCUAGCAAUAGGUUGAUGGCGACCGGCGCACGGGUGAGUAACACGUAUCCAACCUACCGGUUAUUCUGGGAUAGCCUUUCGAAAGAAAGAUUAAUACCGGAUAGCAUAACGAGAAGGCAUCUUCUUGUUAUUAAAGAAUUUCGAUAACCGAUGGGGAUGCGUUCCAUUAGUUUGUUGGCGGGGUAACGGCCCACCAAGACAUCGAUGGAUAGGGGUUCUGAGAGGAAGGUCCCCCACAUUGGAACUGAGACACGGUCCAAACUCCUACGGGAGGCAGCAGUGAGGAAUAUUGGUCAAUGGACGAGAGUCUGAACCAGCCAAGUAGCGUGAAGGAUGACUGCCCUAUGGGUUGUAAACUUCUUUUAUAUGGGAAUAAAGUGAGCCACGUGUGGCUUUUUGUAUGUACCAUACGAAUAAGGAUCGGCUAACUCCGUGCCAGCAGCCGCGGUAAUACGGAGGAUCCGAGCGUUAUCCGGAUUUAUUGGGUUUAAAGGGAGCGUAGGCGGACUAUUAAGUCAGCUGUGAAAGUUUGCGGCUCAACCGUAAAAUUGCAGUUGAUACUGGUCGUCUUGAGUGCAGUAGAGGUAGGCGGAAUUCGUGGUGUAGCGGUGAAAUGCUUAGAUAUCACGAAGAACUCCGAUUGCGAAGGCAGCUUACUGGACUGUAACUGACGCUGAUGCUCGAAAGUGUGGGUAUCAAACAGGAUUAGAUACCCUGGUAGUCCACACAGUAAACGAUGAAUACUCGCUGUUUGCGAUAUACAGCAAGCGGCCAAGCGAAAGCAUUAAGUAUUCCACCUGGGGAGUACGCCGGCAACGGUGAAACUCAAAGGAAUUGACGGGGGCCCGCACAAGCGGAGGAACAUGUGGUUUAAUUCGAUGAUACGCGAGGAACCUUACCCGGGCUUAAAUUGCAUCUGAAUAAUUUGGAAACAGAUUAGCCGCAAGGCAGAUGUGAAGGUGCUGCAUGGUUGUCGUCAGCUCGUGCCGUGAGGUGUCGGCUUAAGUGCCAUAACGAGCGCAACCCUUAUCUUUAGUUACUAACAGGUCAUGCUGAGGACUCUAGAGAGACUGCCGUCGUAAGAUGUGAGGAAGGUGGGGAUGACGUCAAAUCAGCACGGCCCUUACGUCCGGGGCUACACACGUGUUACAAUGGGGGGUACAGAAGGCAGCUACACAGCGAUGUGAUGCUAAUCCCAAAAGCCUCUCUCAGUUCGGAUUGGAGUCUGCAACCCGACUCCAUGAAGCUGGAUUCGCUAGUAAUCGCGCAUCAGCCACGGCGCGGUGAAUACGUUCCCGGGCCUUGUACACACCGCCCGUCAAGCCAUGAAAGCCGGGGGUACCUGAAGUCCGUAACCGCAAGGAGCGGCCUAGGGUAAAACUGGUAAUUGGGGCUAAGUCGUAACAAGGUAGCCGUACCGGAAGGUGCGGCUGGAACACCUCCUUUCU
rnacentral:rRNA from 1 species